CAGAUUUCUUUUUUACAAACCUUUUUUUUUAUCAAUAUAUAUUUGUUCUCAAUGUUUUGGCGUCAAACUGGAGGCAGUAGUGAAAAAAAGUUGAGUUUGCAAAGUUAAUUGAAAAUAAUGCCGUUCUUAAUGAGAUGCUUGUCUCAUGAAUUAGGCUAUUUUCUAUUGAACCAUUAAUUCUACUGUAUCUACUAGAAACUAGUGGACAAUAUGGACAAAGAUUUAAUAAAUUAAUACUGUACAGUAUAUGAAUAAAACAUUUCACAAGUUAUUCAAGUAAAUAUUACCAAAGUUAUGAUAGAUUGCUACAGAUUUUCUGUUAAUUCCCAAAUUUCUGGUAACCUUGGCAAAUUACAGGUACAUUUGCAACCGCAGCAUGUCACAGAUGGGAAGUUUAAAACACUAUAUAGGUGGCUAAGGGUUAUAAAAAGCAGACAUGAACAUUAUAAUCUAAUUGUAUGGUUGUGAUUGACUACUUAGCAUGCCACCUUUAAGGUAACCUGUCCUUCCCUAUUCCUCUGAGUACUAAGGAUGUAGUCUUAUCCUGUCCUAUAGGAACUAAAGAUGUAGUCUUAUCCUGUCCUAUAGGAACUAAAGAUGUAGUCUUAUCCUGUCCUAUAGGAACUAAAGAUGUAGUCUUAUCCUUUCUUAUAGGAACUAAAGAUGUAGUAUUAUCCUGUCCUAUAGGUACUAAAGAUGAAGUCUCUAUCCUGUCCUAUAGGAACUAAAGAUGUAGUCUUAUCCUGUCCUAUAGGUACUAAAGAUGUAGUCUUAUCCUGUCCUAUAGGAACUAAAGAUGUGGUCUUAUCCUGUCCUAUAGGUACUAAAGAUGUAGUCUUAUCCUGUCCUAUAGGAACUAAAGUCGUAGUCUUAUCCUGUCCUAUAGGAACUGAGGAUGUAGUCUUAUCCUGUCCUAUAGGAACUAAAGAUGUAGUCUUAUCCUGUCCUAUAGUUACUAAAGAUGUAGUCUUAUCCUGUCCUAUAGGAACUAAAGAUGUAGUCUUAUCCUGUCCUAUAGGUACUGAGGAUGUAGACUUAUCCUGUCCUGUAGGUACUAAAGAUGCAGUCUUAUCCUGUCCUAUAGGUACUGAGGAUGUAGUCUUACCCUGUUCUAUAGGAAUUAAAGAUUUAGUCUUGUCCUGUCCUAUAGGAACUGAGGAUGUAGUCUUAUCCUGUCCUAUAGGAACUAAAGAUGUAGUCUUAUCCUGUCCUAUAGUUACUAAAGAUGUAGUCUUAUCCUGUCCUAUAGGAACUAAAGAUGUAGUCUUAUCCUGUCCUAUAGGAACUAAAGACGUAGUCUUAUCCUGUCCUAUAGUUACUAAAGAUGUAGUCUUAUCCUGUCCUAUAGGAACUAAAGAUGUAGUCUUAUCCUGUCCUAUAGGUACUGAGGAUGUAGUCUUAUCCUGUCCUGUAGGUACUAAAGAUGCAGUCUUAUUCUGUCCUAUAGGUACUGAGGAUGUGGUCCUAAACCUCUGUCCUGCAACAGGCCCAGUAAUACUUAACAGAGGUCUUGGUACAUGACCUAGGUGAUCACAGGUCCAAGACCAUUACUCAACACUGUUGUACCCCGUGACAGAAGGACAGAGCAGUGUUGACUCAGUUUAACCUGUGUAAGAGAAACAUCUGUGAAACAGUGUCCUGUUCAGAGCUGUAGAUGGCAUGUUUAGCCCUGUUAAUGAGCAGGUCAUUCAUUUCACAUUUAUAAAAGAGGAGAGGAGAUGGAUGGAGCAAUUUACAGGUCUAUUAGUUGUGGAGGGCUGGAGGGAUGGAGGGAUGGAGGGAUGGGGGAAUGGAGGGAUGGAGGGAUGGAGGGCUGGAGGGAUGGAGGGCUGGAAGCCUGGAGGGAUGAAGGGAUGGGGGAAUGGAGGGAUGGAGGGAUGGAGGGC
rnacentral:lncRNA from 1 species